CUGAUGCAGCGACGCCGCGUGCGGGAUGAAGGCCUUCGGGUUGUAAACCGCUUUCAGCAGGGACGAGGCGAAAGUGACGGUACCUGCAGAAGAAGCCCCGGCUAACUACGUGCCAGCAGCCGCGGUAAUACGUAGGGGGCAAGCGUUAUCCGGAUUCAUUGGGCGUAAAGCGCGCGUAGGCUGCCCAGUAGGUCGAGAGUUAAAUCCGGGGGCUCAACCCCCGUCCGCUCCCGAUACCGCUGGGAUUCGAGUCUGGUAGGGGAAGGUGGAAUUCCCAGUGUAGCGGUGGAAUGCGCAGAUAUUGGGAAGAACACCGGUGGCGAAGGCGGCCUUCUGGGCCAUGACUGACGCUGAGGCGCGAAAGCUAGGGGAGCGAACAGGAUUAGAUACCCCUGGUAGUCCUAGCCGUAAACGAUGGGCACUAGGUGUGGGGAGGCUUUACUUUCCGUGCCGACGCUAACGCAUUAAGUGCCCCGCCUGGGGAGUACGGCGCAAGGCUAAAACUCAAAGGAAUUGACGGGGGCCCCACAAGCAGCGGAACAUGUG
rnacentral:rRNA from 1 species